rnacentral:rRNA from 1 species
AUUUGGCGGACGGGUGAGUAACGCGUGAGGAGCUGUCUUAUGCAGGGGGACAACAGUUGGGAACGGCUGCUAAUACCCCAUAAGCCGAGAGGUAAAAGGAGCAAUCCGGCAGAGGAGGUACUCGUGUCCUAUCAGCUAGUAGGUUGGGUAACGGCCGACCUAGGCGAAGACGGGUAGCCGGCCUGAGGGGGCGAACGGCCACACUGGAACUGAGAUACGGUCCAGACUCCUACGGGAGGCAGCAGUGGGGAAUAUUGGGCAAUGGGGGGAACCCUGACCCAGCGACGCCGCGUGGGUGAAGAAAUCCUUCGGGAUGUAAAGCCCUGUUGUAUGGGAAGAGCAGAAGACGGUACCAUACGAGGAAGCCCCGGCAAACUACGUGCCAGCAGCCGCGGUAAUAA